rnacentral:rRNA from 1 species
AGGUCCUGCCUGCCCGGUGACUUGUUAGUUCAACGGCCGCGGUAUUUUGACCGUGCUAAGGUAGCGCAAUCACUUGUUCUUUAAAUGAGGACCUGUAUGAAUGGUGGAACGAGGGCUUAACUGUCUCCCUUUUCCGGUCAAUGAAAUUGAUCUGCCCGUGCAGAAGCGGGCAUGCAUAUACAAGACGAGAAGACCCUUUGGAGCUUAAGACACAAGGCCAACCGUGUAAAGCCCCCAAACUAAAAAUGGUGUUAAACAAAACAGCAACUGGCCAGCGUCUUCGGUUGGGGCGACCGUGGGGGAAAACAAAGCCCCCAUGUGGAGUGGGACACUCCCUAAAACCAAGAGAGACAUCUCUAAGUCGCAGAACAUCUGACUAAAAGAUCCGGUGAAUGCACCGAUCAACGAACCAAGUUACCCUAGGGAUAACAGCGCAAUCCUUUCCAAGAGUCCAUAUCGACGAAAGGGUUUACGACCUCGAUGUUGGAUCAGGACAUCCUAAUGGUGCAGCCGCUAUUAAGGGUUCGUUUGUUCAACGAUUAAUAGUCCUACGUGAUCUGAG